AACGAACGCUGGCGGCAGGCCUAACACAUGCAAGUCGAGCGAACCCUUCGGGGUUAGCGGCGGACGGGUUAGUAACGCGUGGGAAUAUACCCUUUGGUACGGAAUAGCCUCGGGAAACUGAGAGUAAUACCGUAUGUGCCCUUCGGGGGAAAGAUUUAUCGCCAAAGGAUUAGCCCGCGUUGGAUUAGAUAGUUGGUGGGGUAAUGGCCUACCAAGUCUACGAUCCAUAGCUGGUUUGAGAGGAUGAUCAGCAACACUGGGACUGAGACACGGCCCAGACUCCUACGGGAGGCAGCAGUGGGGAAUCUUAGACAAUGGGCGCAAGCCUGAUCUAGCCAUGCCGCGUGGACGACGAAGGCCUUAGGGUUGUAAAGUCCUUUCAGAUGGGAAGAUAAUGACGGUACCAUCAGAAGAAGCCCCGGCUAACUCCGUG
rnacentral:rRNA from 1 species